CGUCGGCUACACAUCGCGAGUCGAGCGGUAGAGAGAAGCUUGCUUCUCUUGAGAGCGGCGGACGGGGGAGUAAUACCUAGGAAUCUGCCUGAUAGUGGGGGAUAACGGUCGGAAACGGACGCUAAUACCGCGUACGUCCUACGGGAGAAAGCAGGGGACCUUCGGGCCUUGCGCUAUCAGAUGAGCCUACGUCGGAGUAGGUAGUUGGCGAGGGAAUGGCUCACCAAGGCUACGAUCCGUAACUGUGCUGAGAGGAUGAUGAGUGACACUGGAACUGAGACCCGUUCCACACUUCUACGGGAGGCAGCAGUGGGGAAUAUUGGACAAUGGGCGAAAGCCUGAUCCAGCCAUGCCGCGUGUGUGAAGAAGGUCUUCGGAUUGUAAAGCACUUUAAGUUGGGAGGAAGGGCAUUAACCUAAUACGUUAGUGUUUUGACGUUACCGACAGAAUAAGCACCGGCUAACUCUGUGCCAGCAGCCGCGGUAAUACAGAGGGUGCAAGCGUUAAUCGGAAUUACUGGGCGUAAAGCGCGCGUAGGUGGUUUGUUAAGUUGAAUGUGAAAUCCCCGGGCUCAACCUGGGAACUGCAUCCAAAACUGGCAAGCUAGAGUAUGGUAGAGGGUAGUGGAAUUUCCUGUGUAGCGGUGAAAUGCGUAGAUAUAGGAAGGAACACCAGUGGCGAAGGCGACUACCUGGACUGAUACUGACACUGAGGUGCGAAAGCGUGGGGGAG
rnacentral:rRNA from 1 species